GGCACAACCGAAAGGCAUGGUUCCUCAGACGGGUCUCAGGCCCGAGGAUCAAAUGGGAAUGCGGAGAGGCGACCCACAUCGGGGCCUUCAGCCGCAGCCGCCCCCGCGACUGUGAGCGGAGAGCAUGUGUCACGAGCCACUGGGCAACCGGGAAGGCGGCACGAUGCGACGACCCGCGAGCCAGGAGACCAGCCCUGCGUCAAUUCUAACCG
rnacentral:ncRNA from 19 species